rnacentral:rRNA from 1 species
AUGUCUUGCUAUCUUCUGCUUUAUCAUUCGGAUAUUGAUUUCUACCUCCUUCGGGGGAGCAAUGGCACCAACAUUAGUUUACAUUUCAAGAUUCUGAAAUGUAUAUGCUGUCUCUCGAGGGUUCGGCUUAGCUUUCUCUGGAUCAUAUUGUUCAUGUUCUUAGCAGCAAAAAAUGGUUUCAAGAUUCUGAAAUGUAUAUGCUGUCUCUCGAGGGUUCGGCUUAGCUUUCUCUGGAUCAUAUUGUUCAUGUUCUUAGCAGCAAACAAAUGGUUUCAAGAUUCUGAAAUGUAUAUGCUGUCUCUCGAGGGUUCGGCUUAG